UGUGAGAGCGAAACUGAAGAGGAA
rnacentral:piRNA from 3 species